UACAGAGGCCUCGAGCGUUAGGCGGAAUCACUGGGCUUAAAGCGUGUGUAGGCGGACUUCUAAGUACCUUGUGAAAUCCCACGGCUUACCCGUGGAACGGCUGGGUAUACUGGUCGUCUUUGAGCCAUCUAGGGGCUACCGGAACAAAUGGUGGAGCGGUGAAAUGCGUAGAUAUCAUUUGGAACGCCAAUGGUGAAAACAGGUAGCUGGGGAUGUGCUGACGCUGAGACACGA
rnacentral:rRNA from 1 species